UCUCGCGCGCGCGCGCACACACACACACACACACACCGAGCACACACCCUCCUCAGUUCUCAAAUAAUUGUACAUCUGUAUUGAGAUUGAACGGUAACGCGCGCGCGCACACAUACCGGGAGAACCGCUCGGAUGGAACUGAUGAAAUGAAAUGAAGUGAAAUGGCCUACUUCCUGCUCCCACAGCGCGUGAGAACCGGAUGUGCUGUCGGCGGUCUGAUCUGGAUGGCGCUCUUCUGUGCACUCAGGACGCUAACGCAAUUAUAGCACUCGCUAAUCACAUUUCCUCAACAAAGGAGUGUGAGGAAUUCCUCCAGCGCCGAGCUGCAGCCGGGACAGAGAAAAGCUCAGCAGAGUCAGAGGCCCAGGUCCCGGAGGUGCUGUGUGUAAACAGUCUAUAAAGGCACCAUAUUGAGUGUGUGUGUGUGAGGAGGAGGGACACGUUUACGGCUCGCUCUGCGCUCGCUCUCACGUCUCACUAACGACUCACGCUCAUUCGAACACAACACACGACGGGAUCUCUGUAUUACAUCUCAGUAAACUUCAAUAAACUUCUCAUCGUUCCCAGAGCCGAGGUUCUUCUCCACACUGUUCUGUUUCUAAAGCAGAAACGUGACGCGAUCGCAUGCUGACACGUGCACCUGCGUGACGCUGCAUGCUCACUAUGUUUCCACUGUCGCUCACGUUCCUCUCAGCUCAGGGCAUCACAUGGACCACCCUGGGAUGUUUCUCCUCAUGCUUUUCCAGCAUUAAACACAGGACUUUGGGUGAGUCUUGUGUCUGAUGAACAAAUCAAACACUCAUCUUGUGUGAACAGACACUGAAAUGAAAAGAUCAGACACAAAACUAAAGAGAUCAGACAUUGAACUGUUGAUCCAGACACUAAGCUGAGGUGGUCAGACACUGAAAUGAAGUGAUUAGAAAUUUAACUGAAGAUUGGACACUGAGCUAAAGUGAUCAGACCCUGAAGUAAUCAAACACCGAACUGAAGAGAUCAGACAAUAAACUGAAAUGAUUUGAUGCUGAACUGA